GAUGAACGCUGGCGGCGUGCCUAAUACAUGCAAGUCGAGCGAACGUACGAGUAGCUUGCUUUUCUGAUGUUAGCGGCGGACGGGUGAGUAACACGUGGCUAACCUACCUAUAAGACUGGGAUAACUUCGGGAAACCGGAGCUAAUACCGGAUAAUAUUUUGAACCGCAUGGUUCAAAAGUGAAAGACGGUCUUGCUGUCACUUAUAGAUUGAUCCGCGCUGCAUUAGCUAGUUGGUAAGGUAACGGCUUACCAAGGCAACGAUGCAUAGCCGACCUGAGAGGGUGAUCGGCCACACUGGAACUGAGACACGGUCCAGACUCCUACGGGAGGCAGCAGUAGGGAAUCUUCCGCAAUGGGCGAAAGCCUGACGGAGCAACGCCGCGUGAGUGAUGAAGGUCUUCGGAUCGUAAAACUCUGUUAUUAGGGAAGAACAUAUGUGUAAGUAACUGUGCACAUCUUGACGGUACCUAAUCAGAAAGCCACGGCUAACUACGUG
rnacentral:rRNA from 1 species